rnacentral:rRNA from 1 species
GACGAACGCUGGCGGCGUGCUUAACACAUGCAAGUCGAACGGAAAGGCCCUGCUUUGGUGGGGUGCUCGAGUGGCGAACGGGUGAGUAACACGUGAGUAACCUGCCCUUGACUUUGGGAUAACUUCAGGAAACUGGGGCUAAUACCGGAUAGGAGCUCCUGCUGCAUGGUGGGGGUUGGAAAGUUUCGGCGGUUGGGGAUGGACUCGCGGCUUAUCAGCUUGUUGGUGGGGUAGUGGCUUACCAAGGCUUUGACGGGUAGCCGGCCUGAGAGGGUGACCGGCCACAUUGGGACUGAGCUACGGCACAGCCUCCUACGGGAGGCAGCAGUGGGGAAUAUUGCACAAUGGGCGGAAGCCUGAUGCAGCAACGCAGCGUGGGGGAUGACGGCCUUCGGGUUGUAAACCGCUUCCGCCUGUGACGAAGCGUGAGUGACGGUAAUGGGUAAAGAAGCACCGGCUAACUACGUG